rnacentral:tRNA from 1 species
AGUCUUAAAGCUUUUAAUGCAUAUAUUUUGAAAAUAUAAGAAAGAGGUUAAAAUCCUCUAUAGACUU